UACGUAGGGGGCGAGCGUUUGUCCGGAGUUACUGGGCGUAAAGCGCACGCAGGCGGUCUCUUAAGUUUGGAGUGACAGUUGGUGGCUUAAACUGCCAAAAGUGCUUUCGAAAAACUGAGAGACUUUGAGGGGCUUCAGAGGGACACGGAAUUCCGGGUGGAGUGGUGAAAUGCGUAGAGAUCCGGAGGAACACCAAAGGCGAAGGCAGUGUCCUGGGGAGUACCUGACGCUCAGGUGCGAAAAGCCAGGGGGAGCGAAACGGG
rnacentral:rRNA from 1 species